AUUAGACAGCUUUGAAUAUUCCACUCAGCAGCUCUGCCCUCUUUAUGUAGGCCUGUACAUUCAGACCCUUUGUGGUGAUGGACUUCACAAACUGGAGGAGAUUGCUGGAAUCCUCACUGCAAACAAUAUUCAAUAUUCAAAGUUCCACCUUCAGUCCUUUCCCCCUCACAGAUGGAUCAGCAUGGAGCCAUUCAGGACAAGGAGAGAGGUAAGAAUUCAUCUUCCUCUUUUUGUGUGGAACCGCUAGGCCUCUCCAGUUUUCAACAGCGUCUUUGUUUGUUGGAUGGACACAGUGACAGUAUCAGACUGUGGUGGGUAGUGUAUUGGCUCCUGUGACGAUCGCUGUUCCAAAAGCUGCAUCCUCUUUACCUUUUUCCUUAGCUUUUUGUUUUGCAGAACAAAUCCGCAUGUUGCCUUCAGUGAAGGAACUCAGAGCCCGUCUCCAAGUCGACACAUCGCAGGGUGAUCUUUACACUUAGACUUUUUGGUUACUAAAAACUGUUUUAGAUAGACAAGUGAUAACUCUAUAAUUACUACAAAAAUACUGAGAAAACUCCUCAGACCUGGAUGAGAAUGAGCAAACUUCUUUAUUGGGGUCAAUCAGCCAACAAUCUUUUAAAAGAAAUUGCCAAAUUGAAAGUAACAAACUAGAACGGUUCAUUUCCUAAAGAAAAUGUGAAUGUGCUUGCACGUGGCAAGUUCCCCUCAUCGUGCUGAGUGUCUUGAUAUGUCACAUAUCCAUGUUGUGCUAAAUUGUUUUGAUUUCGCUCGAAUUUUAGGAAUUUCCCAUUUAUUUCUAUGGGACUUUAUUGGCCGCUUUUUCGUCAGCUGUGUGAACAUCAUUGGUCAGACCGCUUAUAAAAACCAUAGCACACCUCUCCUCAAUGAACCGGUCGAUUUGACACCUCAUUUAUGGGUCUAGGACAAAAGCUGCGGGACAAGUUACGCACCG